CCGCCCGUAGCUCAGUUGGUAGAGCGCGAAGCUUAUACCUUCGUGGUCCUUGGUUCGAGUCCAAGCGGGCGGACCA
rnacentral:tRNA from 1 species